GCUGGGUGUGGUGGCACACACCUAUAGUCCCAGCUACUUGGGAGGCUGAGGCAGGAGAAUCGCUUGAACCCAUGAGACCAAGGUUGCAGUGAGCUGAGAUCACACCACUGCAGUCUAGCCUGGGUGACACAGUGAGACCCUGUCUCAA
ensembl:misc_RNA Metazoa_SRP Metazoan signal recognition particle RNA